UGUCUGGGAAACUGCCUGAUGGAGGGGGAUAACUACUGGAAACGGUAGCUAAUACCGCAUAACGUCGCAAGACCAAAGAGGGGGACCUUCGGGCCUCUUGCCAUCGGAUGUGCCCAGAUGGGAUUAGCUAGUAGGUGGGGUAACGGCUCACCUAGGCGACGAUCCCUAGCUGGUCUGAGAGGAUGACCAGCCACACUGGAACUGAGACACGGUCCAGACUCCUACGGGAGGCAGCAGUGGGGAAUAUUGCACAAUGGGCGCAAGCCUGAUGCAGCCAUGCCGCGUGUAUGAAGAAGGCCUUCGGGUUGUAAAGUACUUUCAGCGGGGAGGAAGGCGAUAAGGUUAAUAACCUUGUCGAUUGACGUUACCCGCAGAAGAAGCACCGGCUAACUCCGUGCCAGCAGCCGCGGUAAUACGGAGGGUGCAAGCGUUAAUCGGAAUUACUGGGCGUAAAGCGCACGCAGGCGGUCUGUCAAGUCGGAUGUGAAAUCCCCGGGCUCAACCUGGGAACUGCAUUCGAAACUGGCAGGCUAGAGUCUUGUAGAGGGGGGUAGAAUUCCAGGUGUAGCGGUGAAAUGCGUAAAGAUCUGGAGGAAUACCGGUGGCGAAGGCGGCCCCCUGGACAAAGACUGACGCUCAGGUGCGAAAGCGUGGGGAGCAAACAGGAUUAAAUACCCUGGUAGUCCCCGCCGUAAACGAUGUCGACUUGGAGGUUGUGCCCU
rnacentral:rRNA from 1 species